AGAUUGAACGCUGGCGGCAGGCCUAACACAUGCAAGUCGAGCGGCAGCACGGGUACUUGUACCUGGUGGCGAGCGGCGGACGGGUGAGCAAUGCCUAGGAAUCUGCCUAGUGGUGGGGGAUAACGUUCGGAAACGGACGCUAAUACCGCAUACGUCCUACGGGAGAAAGCGGGGGACCUUCGGGCCUCGCGCCAUUAGAUGAGCCUAGGUCGGAUUAGCUAGUUGGUGAGGUAAAGGCUCACCAAGGCGACGAUCCGUAACUGGUCUGAGAGGAUGAUCAGUCACACUGGAACUGAGACACGGUCCAGACUCCUACGGGAGCAGCAGUGGGAAUAUGGACAAUGGGGAAACCCUGAUCAGCAUGCCGCGUGUGUGAAGAAGGUCUUCGGAUUAGUAAAGCUACGUUUAAGUUGGAAGGAAGGCAGUAACUUAAUACGUUGCUUGUUUGACGUUACGACAGAAUAA
rnacentral:rRNA from 1 species